AAAUCCUUUAACUCCAGUCCUGUGAGACUAAGAAGGAGCAUACACGUAAGCAUCACUUGUUGACGUUAUCUAUUUAGGUAAUAUCAACAAGUAAUGUUGGAUGCCCUCUUACCUAAUAGGUGAGAGGGCAUUUUUCAA
rfam:Carnobacterium iners strain LMG26642 genome assembly, contig: Ga0073236_12